rnacentral:rRNA from 1 species
UACAGAGGGUGCAAGCGUUGUUCGGAAUUAUUGGGCGUAAAGGGCGUGUAGGCGGUUUGCUAAGUCAUGUGUGAAAUCCCCCGGCUUAACCGAGGAACGACGCAUGAUACUGGCAAGCUAGAGUACCAAAGAGGGGGGUGGAAUUCCCGGUGUAGCGGUGAAAUGCGUAGAGAUGUGGAGGAAUACCGAUGGCGAAGGCAGCCCCCUGGGAUAACACUGACGCUCAUGCACGAAAGCGUGGGGAGCAAACAGG